rnacentral:rRNA from 1 species
CGGGCGGGUGAGUAACACGUGAGAAUCUGCCUUUAGGAGGGGGAUAACAACUGGAAACGGUUGCUAAUACCCCAUAUGCUUUCGAGUGAAACGGAUUUAUCUACCUAGAGAGGAGCUCGCGGCUGAUAGCUUGUUGGUGGGGUAAAGGCCUACCAAGGCGACGAUCAGUAUCUGGUUUGAGAGGACGAUCAGACACACUGGAACUGAGACACGGUCCAGACUCCUACGGGAGGCAGCAGUGGGGAAUUUUCCGCAAUGGGCGAAAGCCUGACGGAGCAAUACCGCGUGAGGGAAGACGGCCUAUGGGUUGUAAACCUCUUUUCUCAGGGAGGAACUCAAUGACGUGUACCUGAGGAAUAAGCAUCGGCUAACUCCGUGCCAGCAGCCGCGGUAAGACGGAGGAUGCAAGUGUUAUCCGGAAUCACUGGGCGUAAAGCGUCUGUAGGUGGUUUAAUAAGUCAACUGUUAAAUCUUGAGGCUCAACUUCAAAAUCGCAGUCGAAACUAUUAGACUAGAGUAUAGUAGGGGUAAAGGGGAAUUUCCAGUGGAGCGGUGAAAUGCGUAGAGAUUGGAAAGAACACCGAUGGCGAAGGCACUUUACUGGGCUAUUACUAACACUGAGAGACGAAAGCUAGGGUAGCAAAUGGGAUUAGAUACCCCAG